CUUGUGUACAUACUGCGGCCCACGCGAAAAGAAAGGAGAAAAUUCAAAGUGUCAAAUUUGUUACAAGUGAAAAUGAGACUCCCACAACGCCAGUGAUCUACGCAGCUUCCAGCUUUCCUUUAUCAGCAAUUUUCGACCUACUUAGUAGAUAUACAAAUAACUUCCCUUUCCGCUCACCCACCACUUCGGCUGCCUUCUUGAUUAGGGAACCCACUUAUUUAUAUUAUCUUUCUUUUCGAUUUACCGUUUCAGCGGAUGAUGCAUGCAUUUCCUUGUCCACCAGAGUCCUUUUCGUCACCCAACGUUCCUUCGGGAGGACAACCUUCGACUUCUCAUCAAACCUCAACAGCAAUGUCAGCAACGAAAAAGCAGCCUAUAGAGAACUUGCAAGAACUCUUGAUGUCGUCGGAGCGCGGUAGAUUAAUCAUCCAAGAAUAUAAUAAGAAUGACAUUCUGUGCGAUGAUACUCGCAACGAUUUGAUCCAAAUAAUUAUUUUGGAGGCACGCGCUCAGCAUCUCGAUGUGAACAACACUCUGUUCAAGAUCAUGGCGGAGAAAAUAGAAAACUUUUCUCGAACGAGAACCGAACACAAUAUUUUACAUCAGCGGUACCCGGCAUCACGCGUGCCGGCGGCAGAUUUGUUGUGCGCAAGCCGAAAAUUUAUGCAAAGUUUAAGUUUAAUCUGAAGCAGCCAUCCACAGAAGUGGAAAAGUCAACAAUUGAGAACAACGGCAAGCAAGAGGAGUCUAAAACAUGGUUGGAACGCGGACGUACACCGUUGGAGAUGGUUAUCGCGCAUUGGGACGCUUGUUUUGACCUAAGACAAUCCCUAAUAAAAUCUGCAAAAUCGCUACAAGCAGUAGUAAAAGAAUUUCCAAUCAUCACGACAGCU